rnacentral:rRNA from 1 species
CAGUAGCCGCGGUAAUACGUAGGGGGCAAGCGUUGUCCGGAUUUAUUGGGCGUAAAGAGCUCGUAGGCGGCUAAGUAAGUCGGGUGUUAAAUCCCCAGGCUCAACCUGGGACACCACCCGAUACUGCCAGUCUCGAGUCCGGAAGAGGCAAGUGGAACUCCUAGUGUAGAGGUGGAAUUCGUAGAUAUUAGGAAGAACACCAGUGGCGAAGGCGGCUUACUGGUCCGGUACUGACGCUGAGGUGCGAAAGCGUGGGGAGCAAACAGGAUUAGAUACCCGUGUAGUCCCUGUCUCUUAUACA